GAACCUUGAGGACGGAACGGGCAGCCGUCGCCCCUUAUGGGUAGGAGAUGCGGGAAGGUCACCCGCCGGGUUUC
rnacentral:ncRNA from 12 species